rnacentral:tRNA from 1 species
UCCGAAAUAGUAUAGUGGCUAGUAUACCCCGCUCUCACCAGGAAUGAUAGUGCCGGGGAGACCGGGGUUCAAUUCCCCGUUUCGGAA